rnacentral:snRNA from 1 species
AUCGCUUCUUGGCCUUUUGGCUAAUAUCAAAGUGUAGUAUUGGUUCUUAUCAGCUUAAUAUCUGAUACGAGGACCAUGUGUUCUCUUCGAUAUUAAACUUAUCUCUGUUUUGGGGUGGAUGUGUGGUGAUUACGCUAUCUCCACAACGAGUUGACCGGAUCUUGCAGGUCCUUCAGCACUGGCUCACCACCA